AUACGUUGGGUGCAAGCGGUAAUCGGAAUUACUGGGCGUAACGCGUGCGCAGGCGGUUUUGUAAGACAGUGGUGAAAUCCCCGGGCUCAACCCGGGAACUGCCACUGUGACUGUAAGGCUUGAGGGCGGUAGAGGGGGCUGGAAUUCAGCGGGUAGCAGUGAAAAGCGUAGAUAUGCGGAGGAACACCGAUGGCGAAGGCAAUCCCCUGGGCAUGCACUGACGCUCAUGCACGAAAGCGUGGGGAGCAAACAGGAUUAGAUACCCUGGUAGUCCACGCCCUAAACGAUGUCAACUGGUUGUUGGGGAUUUAUUUUCUCAGUAACGAAGCUAACGCGUGAAGUUGACCGCCUGGGGAGUACGGCCGCAAGGUUAAAACUCAAAUGAAUUGACGGGG
rnacentral:rRNA from 1 species